rnacentral:rRNA from 1 species
GCUCUUAUGAAGUUAGCGGCGGACGGGUGAGUAACACGUGGGUAACCUGCCCAUAAGACUGGGAUAACUCCGGGAAACCGGGGCUAAUACCGGAUAACAUUUUGAACCGCAUGGUUCGAAAUUGAAAGGCGGCUUCGGCUGUCACUUAUGGAUGGACCCGCGUCGCAUUAGCUAGUUGGUGAGGUAACGGCUCACCAAGGCAACGAUGCGUAGCCGACCUGAGAGGGUGAUCGGCCACACUGGGACUGAGACACGGCCCAGACUCCUACGGGAGGCAGCAGUAGGGAAUCUUCCGCAAUGGACGAAAGUCUGACGGAGCAACGCCGCGUGAGUGAUGAAGGCUUUCGGGUCGUAAAACUCUGUUGUUAGGGAAGAACAAGUGCUAGUUGAAUAAGCUGGCACCUUGACGGUACCUAACCAGAAAGCCACGGCUAACUACGUGCCAGCAGCCGCGGUAAUACGUAGGUGGCAAGCGUUAUCCGGAAUUAUUGGGCGUAAAGCGCGCGCAGGUGGUUUCUUAAGUCUGAUGUGAAAGCCCACGGCUCAACCGUGGAGGGUCAUUGGAAACUGGGAGACUUGAGUGCAGAAGAGGAAAGUGGAAUUCCAUGUGUAGCGGUGAAAUGCGUAGAGAUAUGGAGGAACACCAGUGGCGAAGGCGACUUUCUGGUCUGUAACUGACACUGAGGCGCGAAAGCGUGGGGAGCNAACAGGAUUAGAUACCCUGGUAGUCCACGCCGUAAACGAUGAGUGCUNAGUGUUAGAGGGUUUCCGCCCUUUAGUGCUGAAGUUAACGCAUUAAGCACUCCGCCUGGGGGAGUACNGNCGCAAGGCUNAAACUCAAANGAAUUGACGGGGGNCCNCNCAAGCGGUGGANCAUGUGGNUUAANNNNNAGCAACNCGAANNNNNUUANCNGGUCUNGACAUNCUCUGANACCNNNNNANAUAGGGNUUNUCCNUUCGGGAGCANNNUGACAGGNGGNGCAUGGUUGNCGUCAGCUC